UGGGGAAUAUUGCACAAUGGGCGCAAGCCUGAUGCAGCCAUGCCGCGUGUGUGAAGAAGGCCUUCGGGUUGUAAAGCACUUUCAGCGGGGAGGAAGGCGAUAAGGUUAAUAACCUUGUCGAUUGACGUUACCCGCAGAAGAAGCACCGGCUAACUCCGUGCCAGCAGCCGCGGUAAUACGGAGGGUGCAAGCGUUAAUCGGAAUUACUGGGCGUAAAGCGCACGCAGGCGGUCUGUCAAGUCGGAUGUGAAAUCCCCAGGCUCAACCUGGGAACUGCAUUCGAAACUGGCAGGCUAGAGUCUUGUAGAGGGGGGUAGAAUUCCAGGUGUAGCGGUGAAAUGCGUAGAGAUCUGGAGGAAUACCGGUGGCGAAGGCGGCCCCCUGGACAAAGACUGACGCUCAGGUGCGAAAGCGUGGGGAGCAAACAGG
rnacentral:rRNA from 1 species